UUAAGUUCAGCGGGUAUCCCUACCUGAUCCGAGGUCAACAAUAUAAAAUUGGGGGUUGCUGGCAGGCACCCGCCCAGGACCAACAAGCGACGAGUAUUACUGCGCUUGAGACCGGACGGAGCCGCCACUGAUUUUGAGGCAGGCCCACUGGGGGGCGAGCCCAACACCAAGCUAGGCUUGAGGGUUGUAACGACGCUCGA
rnacentral:misc_RNA from 1 species